UUUUGACAGUGGCAGAAUUGUUCUCUUCAGAGCUCCUUGCAGCCUCUGGGUGAUCGGGACAUUGAAUUUGGCAGACAGUUACCAUUCGUUCCCUGGGAUCGUACUUGCCCUUGCUAUCCUCAUCCCCUCCCACACUCCCCUUCCCUCUGAUAAAACUCCAGGGCAUUGCGGUAUUGCUAUGGAGCCCAGGGAGACUUUGGGCAGCUCCCGGCAAAGGGGGGGUGAGGCAGACUUUCUGCCAGCCACCGUCACCUCCGCAAAGCCUCCACCUGCCUCCAGCUGCACGGGGGAGACGAUGCUGCCUGUGGCAGGGGCUGGGAAAGGGAUCCCAGUGAGCGGUGAGAGGCUGGAGCCUGAGGAAGAGGAUGAGCUGGGUUCUGGGAGAGACGUGGAUUCCACUUCCAAUGCGGACAGUGAGAAAUGGGUGGCAGGAGACGGCCUGGAGGAGCAGGAGUUUUCCAUCAAGGAGGCUAACUUCACAGAGGGGAGCUUAAAACUAAAGAUCCAGACCACCAAGAGAGCUAAGAAGCCCCCAAAGAACUUGGAGAACUAUAUUUGCCCUCCUGAGAUCAAAAUCACCAUCAAGCAAUCUGGGGAACAGAAGCUUUCUAGAGCUGGGAAAAAUAGCAAAGCAGCUAAAGAGGAGGACAGAUCACACUCCAAAAAGAAGGUAAGUGCUAUUCUUUCCCAUAUUUCCUCUUUCUCCUGA